rnacentral:misc_RNA from 1 species
GAUGAAGAACGUAGCGAAAUGCGAUACGUAAUGUGAAUUGCAGAAUUCAGUGAAUCAUCGAAUCUUUGAACGCAUAUUGCGCUCUCUGGUAUUCCGGAGAGCAUGCUUGUUUGAGUAUCAGUAAACACCUCAACUUCCAUAUCUUUUUUGAAAUGGGAGUUGGACUUGAGUGAUCCCAACGCUUUUACUCACCGAAAAGUGGCGGGUUACUUGAAAUGCAGGUGCAGCUGGACUUUUCUCUGAGCUAUAAGCAUAUCUAUUUAGUCUGCCUAAAAAACAGAUUAUUACCUUUGCUGCAGCUAACAUAAAGGAGAUUAGUUCUUGUGCUGACUGAUGCAGGAUUCACAAAGACAGGCUUCGGCCGACUUUGUAAACUCGAUCUCAAAUCAAGUAAGACUACCCGCUGAACUUAAGCAUAUCAAUAAGCGGAGGA